rnacentral:rRNA from 1 species
GGACUACCAGGGUAUCUAAUCCUGUUUGCUACCCACGCUUUCGCGCAUCAGCGUCAGAACCGGUCCAGGUAGCCGCCUUCGCCACUGGUGUUCCUCCCAAUAUCUACGCAUUUCACCGCUACACUGGGAAUUCCACUACCCUCUCCCGGCCUCAAGCCCGACAGUUUCAAAGGCAGUUCCUCAGUUGAGCCGAGGGAUUUCACCUUUGACUUACCGGGCCGCCUACGCGCCCUUUACGCCCAAUAAUUCCGAAUAACGCUCGCCCCCUCCGUAUUACCGCGGCUGCUGGCAC